GGGGAAUUUUGGGCAAUGGGCGAAAGCCUGACCCAGCGACGCCGCGUUGGGGAUGAAGUCCUUCGGGGCGUAAACCCAUGUUGUAGGGGAAGAAGAAAGUGACGGUACCCUACGAGAAAGCCCCGGCCAACUACGUGCCAGCAGCCGCGGUAAGACGAACCGUGCGAACGUUAUUCGGAAUCACUGGGCUUAAAGCGCGUGUAGGCGGAUUGGAACGUCGGCGCCUGAAAUCCCCCGGCUCAACCGGGGAACGCGGCCCGAAACGACCAGUCUGGAGGGACGUAGGGGGGACUGGAACUUCCGGUGGAGCGGUGAAAUGCGUUGAGAUCGGAAGGAACGCCCGUGGCGAAAGCGAGUCCCUGGACGUCUACUGACGCUGAGACGCGAAAGCUAGGGGAGCGAACG
rnacentral:rRNA from 1 species